CCAGCCUGGAAUAUGUGUGGAAAUAAAUAAGAAUUUCCCAAGCCACAAACGAUAGUUAAAUGAACGUUUAUUUUUGGUUUACACCAGAUGUACAUUUUUUGUUAAACUUCACCUAUAAAUAUCGGAUCGCAAUGGAGGAAAAUGUCCGCAUGAUGUACGUUGUUGGGGACUUUAAUAUUAUGUUUUGUUCACGUUUAACAAGAAGGUUUUAUGCUCUUUUGUAGGAAUCGAAAAAAAUUUUAUAGGAUGUAAGCCAUAAUGAAAAAAUAAAAACAUAGUAAAUUUACCUCGGGGUUCUGUGGAAUGGCCAGCUCGCUUGCCAGAUUUGACAUCUCUAGACUUUUUUUUAUAGGGCUAUUUGAAGCAAACAGUGUACGAAACUGAACCUUCUUCAGUACUGGAUUUACGACAGACAAGAACGAAUAUUUAUAGAAAUAUGGAUGUUAGUAUAUUUGAAAAUGUUCGGUGUGAAAUUUCGGACCGACUGUUCUUGUGUCAAGAAAUUCAAGGCAACCAUUUUCAGCAUCUGCUCAACUGAACUUAAUGUAUUUAUUCGAUAUAUCUAGUUAAAUGUUAAUGUAUUCAGGGUUAUAAAGUACUCGUCAGGAGCUUCAAAAUGACGUGAUACAAGACCACCAUUUCCAUUUAAUUUUUUUUCCAAGAUGGCGCCCAGCAGCCAUCUUGAAAUUUUCAGCUGUCAAUUUUGCGUAUUAAAUUGGAUAUUAUGUACGAAAAACGGUGAUUUUUCAAAAGAAUUUCUUACUGGGCAAAUGUUUGGGGUGGGUGGCGGUUGGGGUUUGUUUUUCAUCAACACAAGGGUUGUGUUGAUGAAAAACAAUGUUUUUGCAGAAAAUAUUAAGUACUUAAUUUAGUA